CACACGGACAAUUGUAUGUGGCUCUGUCAAGAGGUGUAUCUCGUGAGAGUACGUGGGUUCUUGUAAAGAGAAACAUGAACAUCGAUCCUGCUGGAAAGAGUACGGAGAAUAUUGUAUACAAAGAUGUCUUGUAAUCGUGAGGUAACACGCUUGGAGAUUAUGAGUGCAUAACCUCCUGGAUUAUCUGAAUGUUUUCAGCUGCUACAAUGCACUAUGAUUGAAUAAAUAUUUGGUGUACACGUGUAAACAUACCUAUUUUUAAUCUUGAUCUAUGACAUGUCUAUCAUGAGAUUAUUCUUAUAUAUAUAUUCUUGUUAGAAUUUUGUUGAGUGUGAACAAGAUUAUA